UACGGGGGGGGCAAGCGUUGUUCGGAAUUACUGGGCGUAAAGGGCUCGUAGGCGGCCAACUAAGUCGGAUGUGAAAUCCCCAGGCUCAACCUGGGAACUGCGUCCGAUACUGGAUGGCUUGAAUUCGGGAGAGGGAUGCAGAAUUCCAGGUGUAGCGGUGAAAUGCGUAGAUAUCUGGAGGAAUACCGGUGGCGAAGGCGGCAUCCUGGACCGACAUUGACGCUGAGGAGCGAAAGCUAGGGGAGCAAACGGG
rnacentral:rRNA from 1 species